rnacentral:sRNA from 1 species
AAUAUACCAUAUUAAAACACUUCAAUAAAACUUCAUAACUAAUAACAAGUGUACAUGAAGAAAUUUAUAUUUGUAAAUAUGAGGAUAUUGAGGAUGACGGUAAUGAUGAUCAAUUUGAUAAAAUAAUUAAGAAAAAUAUCAAAAAUUAACCAACAACUGCACGCCUUAUUAUUGUUACAAAAGAUUAUAACAACCUUAAAAGAAAGUUAGUGUAUCUUCCACCUUAAUCAACACCUGAGGAUUAUGGACAUAUAUUGUUGCUUACCGGGUAUGCAGUUGACGCAAAUGGCAUAAAAGUUUGAGAAGCUCAAGAUUCUUAUGUAUUAAGCAAAAAAAUAGUCGGAUUUAUAAGAAUAGCUAGAGGAAAAAACUUAAUCUCCGAUUUCUUUGAGAUGAAAAUUCGACUUUGAGAUAAAUAUUUAUUAACCAUAUUAUUGAUAAGUCUUUUAUAUAGCAGGUAACUUUCUCAUCGUAAAUCAUGGAUUCAGAUCUUUCUUGAAGUUUUAAAACUCUAUGUAAUCGGUGGUAAAUCUAUUAGGAGAUCAGUAGUAAGUCUAUUAGGAGAUCGAUAAGGCUCUGAUAUUUAUUAAGUUUUAGAUUAGUUUGGAAUCAACGGACCUGCCUUAACGACACCAGAAUUUCACCCAGCACAAAACUCGUUCAGUAAUAACGAAGGUAAGUGACAAAACUUAUGUAUUCAUACCUAUUUAAUCCCAUAGAUUAUGAACCACUAAAAAAAAA